rnacentral:lncRNA from 10 species
UUAUUAGUACAGGAAAUGACAUGGAAAACGGAAGAAAGCGGCGUUUGGGGCAGACGCGGACCCCCCAAUUCAGGGGCCGGAGCCGGGACUCACCAGCCGCGUCCCGACCCGGCCCCGGAGAAAACUCCCGGGGCCCCUUAGGCCCGCGCCCUGCCCGGAGGGGGGAACCCGGCUCUCCAAACCCAAAGGGAGAGGGAGCGUUUUAUAAUCCAGCCCGUGGAGAAAUCGAGAAAAAAAUAGAUGAAAAAAAGAAAAGGUUAAGAGAGAACUUUCGAACUGGGAUACUUUUUUGGGGUCAGAAGUAAAAGUUCUCAAAUUUUAAUAAAGUCAUUGUGAGGGGGGCUCCCUGGCUCUCCCGGUCGCGUGGCUGUCCAUUUGGAACCAAAUAGUCGGGGGGAGUCGACGCGUUUGGAUUUUUAACCCUUUCAGGGCUCCGCGGCUGGCCCCCUCCCGGUCCCAUUUAACCCUUUGAAUGCUCAGCAGUUUGGAGAUACAAACUGAAGUUGCGAGACGCAGGCGUCCCGCGAAGGCUGAGGCAUCUGAUUCCCCUUCCAGUGGCUGGAGAACAUCCCACCUUCUGAGCCUUGGGGAGAAGCAGAGUGUGCCCUUUCCCUGCCCACUGGAGAAGCUGAAACAACAAAAACUCCCUUCCCUGGCCUCCCUGCAGGAGACUCCAGGAAGACUCCUGAAUGCCACACACUCCUAAACCUGAGAGACCUUCAUGCAGAUUGGGGAGCAGCUUUAGGACUGCUGGGUGGAGCCACAAUGAGACAGAUAAGCUCCAGGAAAAUAAGAAGUGCCGAAACAAUGGAGCCACCCAACAAAAAGGGCUGCCACUGCAAGUGGUGAGCUUCCUGUUACUGGAGUAAGUCAAAGAUGGUGUCGAAAAUGGUGAAAUCAAGAACUAGUGCUUAGAAUUAUGGAGAUUUAAAAACAGAAGAGACACCUCCCAGAGUUGCAAGUGGUCGCCUGUCCCAGAGAGCUGGUGAGAUGAGGUGGGGAGGUGGCAGCUGAGUUUUAUGCCCCGUUUUGCAGGUGAGAAAGUGGAGUUCGAAGAUGUCAUCAGCCCAGGUCACACAGAUGGUGGAGACCAGUGUGGAGCCCGGGAGUGGGCUGAGCAGAGCAUCUGGACUUUGAGCUUCCAUCAGACCCUGAGAUAGUCACCUGUCCUGGCUGCCUGGUGACCCUGGUGUGCUAACGUGGCACUUAUCUUGCUCUAUGGAGGCCCCUGGGCCCCCUAAACACCAGGUGGGUGCCUUCAGCCAGCCCCAUACUGACCUGUGAAGCCCAGGUAUUGCUGGCCAACCCACCCCACUCACAGACAGAAGCAGUUCUCCAUCUUUUGGCUUUAGCAGAUCUGCUUCAUUUCUCCUCCCCACAAAGCCUGGACUUUGUUCUGGGGGUAUCCCUGUUUGCAGUGAAGCUUUUUCACUCAGUGCUCAAUCUGAGCCCAACUCCACCCCACAUCUCUGAUUCAUAGACUUUUGUGACUGCCUUGACCAGUAGAGUAUGGCAGAAGAUGCUCUGUAACUUCCCAGGCUAGAUCUAGAAAAUGCCACGCAUUUCUGCCUUGCUCUCCUGCGACAUCCACUCUUAGAACCCAGUUGCUGUGCUAAAAAGAACUCACAGACCACGUGGAGUGGAGCAGAUGGGUCAGUGUCCCAGGUGGCAGCCCGUGUCGGCCUCAGACCUGCACGUGAGGAUGCCCACCAGAGGGUUCCUGCCACCACCGUCAAGUCACCCCAGCCUUAAUCUUCCAGCCGGCGCCUCAGGCAUUAUGGGCAGAGGUAAACUGUCUCCAUGAUGCCCUUUCCAAAUUUCUGACCCACAGAAUCCAUGGCUAUAAUAAAAUGGCUGUCUUAUGUGCUCAAUUUUGGGGUGGUUUGUAGCAUAGCAGUAUAACUAGAACAUCUAGCUCGUGAGAGAACCAGCAAAGAAAGCAAAAAUCACCCCAGCCUAUAAAGGGCCCUGAGGGUGGUGGGACCCAUGGGUGACAGGAAACCAAUCCCUGCACCCCAAGAGGUGGCAGGGCCUCCAAC